GUCGUGAGAUGUUGGGUUAAGUCCCGCAACGAGCGCAACCCCUGCUCUGUGUUGCCAGCGGAUUAUGCCGGGGACUCACAGAGAACUGCCGGUGACAAACCGGAGGAAGGUGGGGAUGACGUCAAGUCAUCAUGCCCCUUACGUCUAGGGCUACAAACGUGCUACAAUGGCCGAUACAAAGAGCUGCAAUGCCGCGAGGCGGAGCGAAUCUCAAAAAGUCGGUCCCAGUUCGGAUUGCAGGCUGAAACUCGCCUGCAUGAAGUUGGAGUUGCUAGUAAUCGCGGAUCAGCAACGCCGCGGUGAAUACGUUCCCGGGCCUUGUACACACCGCCCGUCACACCACGGAAGCCGGAGACACCCGAAGCCCGUGGCCCAACCCGCAAGGGAGGGAGCGGUCGAAGGUGGAGUUGGUGACUGGGGUGAAGUCGUAACAAGGUAGCCGUAGCGGAAGCUGCGGCUGGAUCACCUCCUUUCUAGGGAUGCGGUGACCAUUUAUCACCGCAGGCGUCCCUGCUAGACGACGUGUCCUCCUUGGACACGGCUCCGGUGCUUCGGCACCGUGGUCUGCAGUAAGACUCGCCUGGAAUCUAUAUCGACACGGACUGCUUAGGCCGCUCGCAAGAGUGGCCGGCCUCAUGCUAUUGAGUUUUGAGAGACCGGACGUCUGUCCUUCGUGGACAGCCCGGCGAGCACUUCGGUGCUCUGCCGUCCGGGCGCUCGAGCGGGACGCAUCCCGCCGGUACCUUGAAAACUGCACAGCGGUAGAAGUGGUGUUCUCGAAUGACGGUGAGUCAUGAAUCAAGAGAACAAGGGCACACGGUGAAUGCCUUGGUACCAGGAGCCGAUGAAGGACGUUGAUGGCUGCGAUAAGCCUCGGGGAGCUGCCUAACAAGCGUUGAUCCGGGGAUUU
rnacentral:sRNA from 1 species